AGCGAACGCUGGCGGCAGGCUUAACACAUGCAAGUCGAGCGGGCACUUCGGUGUCAGCCGCAGACGGGUGAGUCACACGUGGGAACGUACCCUUCGGUUCGGCAUAACUCUGGGAAACUAGCGCUAAUAGCGAAUACGCCCUUUUGGGGAAACGUUUACUGACGAAGGAUCGGCCCGCGUCUGAUACGCUCGUUGGUGGGGUAAUGGCAUACCAAGGCGAGGAUCAGUAGCUGGUCUGAGAGGAUGAUCAGCCACACUGGGACUGAGACACGGCCCAGACUCCUCCGGGAGGGAGGAGUGGGGGAUAUUGGACAAUGGGCGCAAGGCUGAUCCAGCCAUGCCGGGUGAGUGAUGAAGGCCUUAGGGUUGUAAAGUUCAAUUGUCCGGGACGAUAAUGACGGUACCGGAAGAAUAAGCCCCGGCUAACUACGUG
rnacentral:rRNA from 1 species